GCAGUGAGGAAUAUUGGACAAUGGGUGAGAGCCUGAUCCAGCCAUCCCGCGUGAAGGACGACGGUUCUAUGGAUUGUAAACUUCUUUUAUACUGGGAUAAACCUACCCUCGUGAGGGUAGCUGAAGGUACAGUAUGAAUAAGCACCGGCUAACUCCGUGCCAGCAGCCGCGGUAAUACGGAGGGUGCAAGCGUUAUCCGGAUUUAUUGGGUUUAAAGGGUCCGUAGGCGGAUCUGUAAGUCAGUGGUGAAAUCUCACAGCUUAACUGUGAAACUGCCAUUGAUACUGCAGGUCUUGAGUAAAGUAGAAGUGGCUGGAAUAAGUAGUGUAGCGGUGAAAUGCAUAGAUAUUACUUAGAACACCAAUUGCGAAGGCAGGUCACUAUGUUUUAACUGACGCUGAUGGACGAAAGCGUGGGGAGCGAACAGGAUUAGA
rnacentral:rRNA from 1 species